UACGAAGGGGGCUAGCGUUGCUCGGAAUCACUGGGCGUAAAGGGUGCGUAGCCGGGUCUUUAAGUCAGGGGUGAAAUCCUGGAGCUCAACUCCAGAACUGCCCUUGAUACUGGCGGUCUCGAGUCCGGGAGAGGUGAGUGGAACUGCGAGUGUAGAGGUGAAAUUCGUAGAUAUUCGCAAGAACACCAGUGGCGAAGGCGGCUCACUGGCCCGGUACUGACGCUGAGGUGCGAAAGCGUGGGGAGCAAACAGG
rnacentral:rRNA from 1 species